GUCUACGGCCAUACCACCCUGUACCCUCUCAUCUGAUCUUGGAAGCUAAGCACGGUCGGGCCUGGUUAGCACUUGGAUGGGAGACCAUAAAUU
rnacentral:rRNA from 1 species